CUCAUUUUCAGAACCUACAAUCCGCCUUGUAAUGCCGAUUAUCCACAGAUUGUGAAUUCUUCCUGGCAUUCCCAAAACUUCAAUUCAUAGAGGACACAUGACAUUUAAGAUGAAUGUGGAACAUACCUGCUAAUGGAGAUUAGCUUUGUGAACUUGCAAUCCUUCGUCUUCAAGCUCAAGGAGACCAGGACAUACCCAGAAUUCUAUUAGAUUAAGGCAAACAUCUAAAGUAAUCCAUGCCAAGAAGUCCUCUUCUUCUGGGAAUUUGGAGUUGAAUCAGACAAUGCUAAUCAGUCUGAACUAGGAAGUUGUGUGGAGCUGGGACUGAAGAGAGAGAGAGAGCACAAGCAGGAGGAGCAGCGGGCAGAGGGAGAAGCAGUCUCCCACCUAAGCAAGGAGCCGGAUGCAGGACUUGAUCUAAGGACCCACGGAUCUUGACCUGGGCCAAAGGGAGAUGCUUAACUGACUGAGCCACCCAGGCAUCCCCCUGGAUUGUAUUGUAAUGCCGGAGCCAAGAGGAUUUGCUGACGAGGUUUCAUCCAGACCAACAUAAUCCAAAUAUUUCCACCAAGACUUAAUCUUGCUCAGCAGCCACAAAUACAGCUUCCCUUCCUUGGUUUCCUUAUAACCAGAAUGAUGGUGUAACUUCAAGGUGUGGCUUUAUAAUCGGGGUAUGUGGAGGUUCUCACAUUUGC